AGCACCAAAGUCCAAAAUAAUGACGUGACGCUGAAGGCGUUAUUUAUACAUGUUUUCAAAAACAAUGUUAAUCAUCGUUCCACUUGCAGCGGCAUCGACAGCGUCAUUGCAGCUAAGUAAGUGAAGGCGCAGCAGCAUAAAUAACUGUUCAAAGCAGCAAUGAUGAUACGCGCAAGAUAGAUGGAGAAAGAGUGAACAGCGGCAAGAGCAAGUUAAGGAAGGAAUAGCCGGGGGGCGCAUAGGCGCAGCGAGCGAACGGCGGCUUCCCGUAUUGAGCUGCUACGUAUAAUCGUUUUCCCGCCUUUUUCGCUUGAUGUAGCAGACAUUGCGUGUGGCGGCAGCGGCAAAUGGCAGGCUGCACAUAAGCACAGCACAUAGCGUGGAACGCUGAAACGACGGCGCGCAUCAGCCAGCACCUACGUAGCAGCGUAUAGGCAACCGAGGUUUUCCCCGUCGCGUUGGCCAGACAAGGACGGCGCGAACGCCUUGCGCUCGCGCUAACUCAUAAGUGGCGUAUCUCUCCGUCUCUUUCGCACCCGUGGCAGGCAUCGAGUGAGCCGCAGCUCUCGCGCAGCCAGGCCAGGCCAACAGAACAGCCGCUACCUACUACGUACUACAGCCAAAGCGAGGAGAUCCUUGCCGAGCCGCGAGAGAGAGAGAGAGGGAGAUAGAACGAGCCCCCUAUAGAGCGCCACAAGUCUGACAGAGACGGAGCGAUCGAGCAGCAGCAGCAGCAGCACAGCAAGCAUAGCACGGCACAGCCAGAGGCAGAGCCUUGUUGCGAGAGUUGAGCCAGGCUGCACAGCAUAGCACGACCCAAGCAGAGCGAGCGAGAGAGAAAAACACAGAAAGCCGAGCCGAGAGACAGACAGACACGACACGCAGAGAGACUGGCAGUGCAGAGAGCCAGUGUCUACCGAGUGGACGAGUACUGCUGUUUUUGCUGACGAGACGAUAGACAUCCAGCUCAGCGUAGCAUCACGACGAGCACCCGGAAGAACUUGAGCUGUGUCCCUAGUACACAGCGAUAAAGUUCUUGCGUAGGCGUUACUUGCUUUGUUUCAGUAUAUCGUUGAUAUCGAUAAAGCCAUGGAGGUAAGUCACGCAAUUUUGAA